GACGAACGCUGGCGGCGUGCCUAAUACAUGCAAGUUGAGCGCUGAAGGUUGGUACUUGUACCAACUGGAUGAGCAGCGAACGGGUGAGUAACGCGUGGGGAAUCUGCCUUUGAGCGGGGGACAACAUUUGGAAACGAAUGCUAAUACCGCAUAAAAACUUUAAACACAAGUUUUAAGUUUGAAAGAUGCAAUUGCAUCACUCAAAGAUGAUCCCGCGUUGUAUUAGCUAGUUGGUGAGGUAAAGGCUCACCAAGGCGAUGAUACAUAGCCGACCUGAGAGGGUGAUCGGCCACAUUGGGAUUGAGACACGGCCCAAACUCCUACGGGAGGCAGCAGUAGGGAAUCUUCGGCAAUGGACGAAAGUCUGACCGAGCAACGCCGCGUGAGUGCAGAAGGUUUUCGGAUCGUAAAACUCUGUUGGUAGAGAAGAACGUUGGUGAGAGUGGAAAGCUCAUCAAGUGACGGUAACUACCCAGAAAGGGACGGCUAACUACGUG
rnacentral:rRNA from 1 species